GAGAGGUCUAAGAUCUCACAUAGCGUGAUGGAGCAAGGUGUCACACUGAGCCUUAUAACUCCAGAAUUCUGCUUCUGUGUCGUAUUUGUUUGUUUUAUCUGUGCCUGUGCUGUGUCAUUGCCGAUCCACCAACAGUCAGAGAAGCUUUGCAGUCAAGAUAUUGUUUAGCAGACAGAGCGGUUUCUGUUGGACACGAAGUACUGCUACGAAU